rnacentral:tRNA from 1 species
GUCCACGUAGUAUAUAAAUUACACUGGUCUUGUAAACCAGAAAAGGGAGUAAACCUCCCCAUGGACUC